rnacentral:rRNA from 2 species
GGGGCAACCCUGGUGGCGAGUGGCGAACGGGUGAGUAAUACAUCGGAACGUGUCCUGUAGUGGGGGAUAGCCCGGCGAAAGCCGGAUUAAUACCGCAUACGCUCUACGGAGGAAAGGGGGGGAUCUUAGGACCUCUCGCUACAGGGGCGGCCGAUGGCAGAUUAGCUAGUUGGUGGGGUAAAGGCCUACCAAGGCGACGAUCUGUAGCUGGUCUGAGAGGACGACCAGCCACACUGGGACUGAGACACGGCCCAGACUCCUACGGGAGGCAGCAGUGGGGAAUUUUGGACAAUGGGCGCAAGCCUGAUCCAGCAAUGCCGCGUGUGUGAAGAAGGCCUUCGGGUUGUAAAGCACUUUUGUCCGGAAAGAAAACCUCUGGGUUAAUACCCCGGGGGGAUGACGGUACCGGAAGAAUAAGCACCGGCUAACUACGUGCCAGCAGCCGCGGUA